AUAUAACUCAGCUUGUAUGUGUGGUAGGUGAAUGUAGCUUGCGUGGUAGUUAGUGUGGUAGUUGACCUUUAUUCCUACCAAAAUUCGUGUUCCUAACUUGAGUGUGGUAGGAGGUAUAGCAGGUCAAAGUUAGGGGAGUGAAAAAUUAUGUUUAUAUUUUUCUGAAUGUCAUAACACUUAACAUUUUUGUAUAUAACUCAGCUUGUAUGUGUGGUAGGUGGAUGUAGCUUGCGUGGUAGUUAGUGUGGUAGUUGACCUUUAUUCCUACUAAAAUUCGUGUUCCUAACUCCAAUGUGGCAGCAGUUAUAGUGGUACGAAGUUAGGCAUUUCAAAAUUUUCCAAUCCUCCCAUUUUCAUUCAACCAGCUGUAACAUUUUUCCCUACCAUUCAACCGGCGUGCAUGGUAGAUGGAUGGGCCUUGGUGGGCUGGUAGACACACCCUUUGGCUAUCCUAUCAUACUCACAGGUCUGUAAUUACCUGGUUCAUUUGUAUCAGCCUUCUUAUAGAUGGGUGUAAUGUUGGCCAGUCUUCAUGUAACUCACUGGUCUGCAAUAUCUUCCUGAGUGUCCUUCCCCUCUUUUAUCACCCGUGGGCCUGGAGUGCCAGGCAGUGUUAACAGUGCCACAGACAGUGUUAUGUGAUGCAAGACAGAUUAGUUACCCAGUGUUAGGCUGUCUUGUUACCUGACCUGCCUACCCCUCUCCUGUGACAUGGGGUCAGGUGUUAUGCAGUGCUAUGUGAUGCCAGGCAGUGUUCAUAGUGGCAUAGAUUUGUGUGGUGCCAGAAUCAGUGUGAUGCCAGUCAUUGGUGCCAGGGACGGUAUAUGUAUAGAAUAACACCCAGGUGACCCUAGGACAAAGCCUUAUUAUUCUCCCUCACUCCCCUCAAUGUUACCAGCUUACCGUAGGCAUAACAUUGUAUCUUUCUGUUUCUGGCCCAUAAAUAUUGCAAAAAAGAGCAUCAGUAAUUACCGAUGUUAACAAUAAUUAUAAAUGCAUAUUGUUAUCUUUAUGGGGCGAUAGUUUGGGGUCAGAAAAGACAAUACGCCAAGUACUACUAAGGGCUGGUAACCCUAAACUACCACUUGAGCCAGCUAAACGUAAUAUAUGGAGGAGAAAAGAGAAUAAAUGAACCCGUGGACAUACCCACAACUCCUGUGAAAGCCUUGUCAAAUAUGUGUAGGCCUACUUGUGUGCCAACAUAUGUAAGAGCAUGGGCCUAACUUUUCUUCUUCCUCCUCAGGUUUUGGGCGCCCAGCCGUACACGUGAACUAACAGUCUUGGCUUCAGGGCAGGUCGCUAAAAUGGAGUGUCGAUGAUUUGAUUGAGGCAGUAUUCCUCGGCAAAGUGCAUGACAGCUUUUGCCUGGGUCCUCAUGUCUUCCGCUCCUCCAUACACACACUCCAAAUUCCAGUCUAUUAGCGGAAAGUUUAAGUCUCCAAGGCAGUGCCAGUGUUUGGAGUGCCACUGUGCCUGGCCGUCCAGCGCUGCCCGGCACACGAUGGCAUCCAGCUGCCCACCAUUGUCAGGGAGUGCAUUGACCAGAUAGAGGUUUGCAGUGAGAACUGACGGACGAUGGCCGGAGCCAGAGCCGAGGCUGACUCUAGACGGGAGAUGGCAGAGUGAACAUGACCCCGAACUGUGGCGUUGAGGACUUCCUGAUGGAGGUUAAGCUGACGUCUCUCUUCCGCCAAUAGAGUGUAGAGAUGGGAGAUUUUCCCGUGUAUGACGUCUAUCUGGGCCUGACUGGCCGUACCAGAAAGGAGGUGCAAGCGAGCCAAUGAAAUCAACGGCUCCUCGCCGCUGGGGAGUCCGAAACGGGCUCUCAUCCCUACCACUCCUAGCUGACAGGAAGUUGUUGAGAUCCUUGAACAAUUUUGCAAAUUCAGUGUGGAAGGAGUCUAGAGUCCGCCUCAGCAGCCCAACAGUAGGGACUGAUUGAUUCAUAUGGUCAAUUGUGUGUGUGUGUAUUUACCUAAUUGUAUUUACCUAGUUGUGACAUACGGGAGAAGAUCUACGCUCAUGCUGUCCGGUCUCCAUAUCCUCUCUUAUCCAACUUUUCCUUAAUAUCCUGAAUGUUUCUUGCACAAACCACCUCCUCCUCCAGUCCGUUCCACAGCUUCUGUUUGGGAAGCUAAACUUUUUCACAUCUCACCUACACGUGGUCGCCCUAAACUUCUUUCCAUGUCCUCUCGUUUCUCUCUCGCUCCACACACACACACACAC